rnacentral:tRNA from 1 species
UUUUAAUAGUUUAACCCCAAAACAAUGAUUUUGUAAAUCAAAAAUAAUUUUUUUUUUAAAACU